rnacentral:rRNA from 1 species
AUGGACAUGGACCAACUCUCCUACGGAAGCUUGUGCGGGAUGGCUUUAGCCACGGCUCUCCUGUGGCUGAUUCUGAGACACGCUCUGGGUGGCAAGAAGGACACAGGAGGAGCCAAAGCUAAGCUUCCUCCAGGUCCAUGGAACCUCCCCGUCAUCGGCAGCCUACACCACCUCGUGGGCACGAAGCUGCAGCCGCACCGCGCGUUGCUCCAGCUAUCCCGCCGGCACGGCCCGCUGAUGCUGCUGAGGCUCGGCGAGGUGCCCAACGUGAUCGUGUCCAGCCCGGAGGCGGCGAUGGAGGUGCUCAAGACGAACGACCUCGCCUUCGCGACCCGCCCGUGCGGCCCCACGAUGGACAUCGUCAGCUGCGGGGGCAAAGGCCUCCUGGCGCCCUACGGCGAGCACUGGCGGCAGAUGCGCAAGGCGUGCGUCACGGAGGUGCUCAGCGCGCGGCAGGUGCGGCGGAUCGAGUCCAUCCAGCAAGGCGAGGCCGCCCGCCUCGUGGAGUCGGUCUCGGCCGCCGCCGCGGCCCGCGCCGUCGUCGACGUCGGCAAGGGGCUGGCCGAGCUGGCGGGCAACAUCAUCGCCACGGCGGUGUUCGGCGGGAGGUUCCCGCAGCAGGAGGCGCACCUCCGGGAGAUGGACGCGCUGUCGGUUCUGGUGGGAGGGUUCAGCCUGGUGGACCUCUUCCCGUCGUCGCGGCUGGUGCGGUGGCUGAGCAGCAGCACGCGCGAGGUAAGGAGGAGCCAUGCCCGGGUGCAGCGCAUCCUGGACGACAUCAUCCAGGAGCGCAAGGAGAAGAAACCCGCCUCUUCCGCUACUCGGGACAGCGAAGACUUGCUGGACGUGCUCCUGAGGCUGCAGAGGGAGGACACCCUCGCUUUCCCUCUCACCUCGGAGUCCAUCGGCUGUGUCAUCUCCGAUAUAAUUGGAGCUGCUACCGAAACCACUUCUUCCACCCUAGAAUGGGCCAUGGCGGAACUCAUCCGCAACCCAGAGGCGAUGGCAAGGGCGCAACACGAGGUCCGCCAGAGGCGCCACCGCGACGGCGUUGUUAUUACGAGCGCAGACCUCGGCGAGCUCCACUAUCUCCGGAUGGUGAUCAAAGAGACGCUCAGGCUGCACCCCGCGGGGAUGUUCCACCGGGCGAGCCAGGAGGACAGCCGGGUCAUGGGCUACCACAUACCCAAGGGCACCUCUGUCGUGAUAAACAGCUUCGCUGUGGGGACGGACCCGGCGCACUGGGGGGAGGACGCCGCCGAGUUCAGGCCGGAGAGGUUCCACGACAAGGACAUGGUGGAGUACAUGCAGAUGGAGUCCGUCCCGUUUGGAGCUGGCCGCAGGCAGUGCCCUGGAGCGCUGUUCGCGACCACCACCAUGGAGCUGGUGCUGGCCAACCUCCUGUACCACUUUGACUGGGCGGUCCCGGGAGGGGAGACGUUGGACAUGGGCGAGGCCUAUGGGUUCAUCGUGCACACUAGGUCCAGCCUGCGCCUGCAGGCAUCAUCUUACCAUCCACAUCUACAGGAGUAG